rnacentral:rRNA from 1 species
ACUUAAAUUGAAGAGUUUGAUCAUGGCUCAGAUUGAACGCUGGCGGCAGGCCUAACACAUGCAAGUCGAGCGGUAGCACAGAGAGCUUGCUCUCGGGUGACGAGCGGCGGACGGGUGAGUAAUGUCUGGGAAACUGCCUGAUGGAGGGGGAUAACUACUGGAAACGGUAGCUAAUACCGCAUAACGUCGCAAGACCAAAGUGGGGGACCUUCGGGCCUCAUGCCAUCAGAUGUGCCCAGAUGGGAUUAGCUAGUAGGUGGGGUAACGGCUCACCUAGGCGACGAUCCCUAGCUGGUCUGAGAGGAUGACCAGCCACACUGGAACUGAGACACGGUCCAGACUCCUACGGGAGGCAGCAGUGGGGAAUAUUGCACAAUGGGCGCAAGCCUGAUGCAGCCAUGCCGCGUGUAUGAAGAAGGCCUUCGGGUUGUAAAGUACUUUCAGCGGGGAGGAAGGCGAUAAGGUUAAUAACCUUGUCGAUUGACGUUACCCGCAGAAGAAGCACCGGCUAACUCCGUGCCAGCAGCCGCGGUAAUACGGAGGGUGCAAGCGUUAAUCGGAAUUACUGGGCGUAAAGCGCACGCAGGCGGUCUGUCAAGUCGGAUGUGAAAUCCCCGGGCUCAACCUGGGAACUGCAUUCGAAACUGGCAGGCUAGAGUCUUGUAGAGGGGGGUAGAAUUCCAGGUGUAGCGGUGAAAUGCGUAGAGAUCUGGAGGAAUACCGGUGGCGAAGGCGGCCCCCUGGACAAAGACUGACGCUCAGGUGCGAAAGCGUGGGGAGCAAACAGGAUUAGAUACCCUGGUAGUCCACGCCGUAAACGAUGUCGAUUUGGAGGUUGUGCCCUUGAGGCGUGGCUUCCGGAGCUAACGCGUUAAAUCGACCGCCUGGGGAGUACGGCCGCAAGGUUAAAACUCAAAUGAAUUGACGGGGGCCCGCACAAGCGGUGGAGCAUGUGGUUUAAUUCGAUGCAACGCGAAGAACCUUACCUGGUCUUGACAUCCACAGAACUUAGCAGAGAUGCUUUGGUGCCUUCGGGAACUGUGAGACAGGUGCUGCAUGGCUGUCGUCAGCUCGUGUUGUGAAAUGUUGGGUUAAGUCCCGCAACGAGCGCAACCCUUAUCCUU